rnacentral:rRNA from 1 species
AGAGUUUGAUCCUGGCUCAGGACGAACGCUGGCGGCGUGCUUAACACAUGCAAGUCGAACGGUGACGGUCAAGCUUGCUUGGUCUGAUCAGUGGCGAACGGGUGAGUAACACGUGAGUAACCUGCCCCAGACUCUGGGAUAACCCCGGGAAACCGGAGCUAAUACCGGAUAUGACACCAAUCCGCAUGGGUAUGGUGUGGAAAGUUUUUCGGUCUGGGAUGGACUCGCGGCCUAUCAGCUUGUUGGUGAGGUAGUGGCUCACCAAGGCGACGACGGGUAGCCGGCCUGAGAGGGCGACCGGCCACACUGGGACUGAGACACGGCCCAGACUCCUACGGGAGGCAGCAGUGGGGAAUAUUGCACAAUGGGCGAAAGCCUGAUGCAGCGACGCCGCGUGAGGGAUGACGGCCUUCGGGUUGUAAACCUCUUUCAGCAGGGAAGAAGCGAAAGUGACGGUACCUGCAGAAGAAGCACCGGCUAACCACGUGCCAGCAGCCGCGGUAAUACGUAGGGUGCGAGCGUUGUCCGGAAUUAUUGGGCGUAAAGAGCUUGUAGGUGGUUUGUCGCGUCUGCUGUGAAAAUCCGAGGCUCAACCUCGGACUUGCAGUGGGUACGGGCAGACUAGAGUGUGGUAGGGGAGACUGGAAUUCCUGGUGUAGCGGUGGAAUGCGCAGAUAUCAGGAGGAACACCGAUGGCGAAGGCAGGUCUCUGGGCCAUUACUGACACUGAGAAGCGAAAGCAUGGGGAGCGAACAGGAUUAGAUACCCUGGUAGUCCAUGCCGUAAACGUUGGGAACUAGGUGUGGGUCUCAUUCCACGAGAUCCGUGCCGCAGCUAACGCAUUAAGUUCCCCGCCUGGGGAGUACGGCCGCAAGGCUAAAACUCAAAGGAAUUGACGG